CGGAUCGGAGUCUGCAACCCGACUCCGUGAAGCUGGAUUCGCUAGUAAUCGCGCAUCAGCCAUGGCGCGGUGAAUACGUUCCCGGGCCUUGUACACACCGCCCGUCAAGCCAUGGAAGCCGGGGGUGCCUGAAGUGUGCAGCCGCAAGGAGCGCCCUAAGGUAAAACCGGUGACUGGGGCUAAGUCGUAACAAGGUAAC
rnacentral:rRNA from 1 species